GUGGUAAAAAGUAAAACUGUCUUAUAGGAAUAAGAAAGGGUUAAAUAUAAACUUACCAUAUUAUUAUAUAAUAAGAGAUAAUUUAAAAUGAAAUUAGAGUAAUAUAAAGUGAAAGAGGCAAAAAUAAAAAAGUACCGAAAGGGAAAGAGAAAGAUUAACAAAGAAGUUAUAUAUAAACGUACCUUUUGUAUCAUGGUUUAGCAAGAGAUUAUUACAAAAGAUAAAGUCUCGAAACCUGCAGAGCUACUAAUAUCCGUCUUUUUAGAAGAAUAGAUUAUGAAAAAUACAUAGUUAUUAGUGUAGCAUUACUUUAGCUAGAGAUAUUAGGAGAAGUGAAAUUCUAUUCGAAGUAGGUGAUAGCUAGUUCCUUCAGAAAUGCAUGUAAAUGCAAAGGCGACUAAAAUUAAAAAGAAAGCUUUAUUCAUAAUACAGGAGAAUAAAGAAAAAGAGUUGCUAUUUAGAUACUUGAGGAUUAGCUCGAGUAUAUACUUAGGAAGGGGUAUAUAAAAGAAAUAAAGUCUGAGCUUGAAAUUAGCUAAGAUAUAAAGUGUGUUAUAAAUUAUUUUAAUGAAGUGAAAUUUAAUAUAUUUAUCUUGUUAAAAUGGAGGAAUAGAGUUUAAUAAAGAUCUCUAAAUAGAAUGCUGAGAUGAGUAUUAAUAUGUUAUAUAUGGAAAUUAAGAUCUAGAUAAGUUUAGAAAAAAGGAAAUAACAAAAAAGUAAUGAUAAGGAACUCGGCAAAUAUAGUUCUCGCCUGUUUAGCAAAAACAUGGCUCUCUGUUAAUACGUUAUAGAUAGGGAGUCGGACCUGCCCGGUGUAUACUAUUUAUAAACGGCCGCGGUACUUUGACCGUGCAAAGGUAGCAUAAUAAUUUGUUCAAUAAUUGUGGACUGGUAUGAAUGGUUUGACGAGGGAUUGACUGUCUCAUUAUUAUUUUCUAGAAAUUGACUUUUAGGUUAAAAGGCCUAAAUAAAACACAAAGACGAGAAGACCCUGGUGAGCUUAAUGAAAGUUAGCUGAAAAUUAAACAGGAACAUAGUUUGGAUGGGGCGUCAAAAGAACAUGAGAAGCUUCUUUUAAUUAUAUUAAAGAGAUAAUGAUCCGAUAGUAUAUCGAGAAAAAGAGAAAGUUACCACAGGGAUAACAGCAUAAUCUUUCUUAAGAGUCCAAAUUGAAAGAAAGGUUUGUGACCUCGAUGUUGGACUAGAGAUACCUGGAGGUGCAGCAGUCCCAAAGGUUGGUCUGUUCGACCAUUAAAACUCU
rnacentral:rRNA from 1 species